UACGGAGGGUGCAAGCGUUGUCCGGAUUUAUUGGGUUUAAAGGGUGCGUAGGCGGCCCGUUAAGUCAGUGGUGAAAGCCUCCAGCUCAACUGGAGAACUGCCAUUGAUACUGGCGGGCUUGAGUACAGACGAGGUAGGCGGAAUUGAUUGUGUAGCGGUGAAAUGCAUAGAUACAAUCAAGAACACCGAUUGCGUAGGCAGCUUACUAGGCUGUAACUGACGCUGAGGCACGAAAGCGUGGGGGGCGAACAGG
rnacentral:rRNA from 1 species